rnacentral:rRNA from 1 species
CGGCGGACGGGUGAGUAAUGCCUAGGAAUCUGCCUGGUAGUGGGGGACAACGUUUCGAAAGGAACGCUAAUACCGCAUACGUCCUACGGGAGAAAGUGGGGAUCUUCGGACCUCACGCUAUCAGAUGAGCCUAGGUCGGAUUAGCUAGUUGGUGGGGUAACGGCUCACCAAGGCGACGAUCCGUAACUGGUCUGAGAGGAUGAUCAGUCACACUGGAACUGAGACACGGUCCAG